rnacentral:rRNA from 1 species
CGAAGGGGGCUAGCGUUGUUCGGAAUUACUGGGCGUAAAGCGCGUGUAGGCGGUUGUUCAAGUCGGGUGUGAAAGCCUUGAGCUCAACUCAAGAAAUGCACUCGAUACUGAAUGACUAGAGGACCGGAGAGGAUAGUGGAAUUCCCAGUGUAGUGGUGAAAUACGUAGAGAUUGGGAAGAACACCAGUGGCGAAGGCGGCUAUCUGGACGGUUUCUGACGCUGAGACGCGAAAGCGUGGGGAGCAAACAGGAUUAGAUACCCUGGUAGUCCACGCCGUAAACGAUGGGUGCUAGACGUUGGCGAGCUUGCUCGUCAGUGUCGCAGCUAACGCGUUAAGCACCCCGCCUGGGGAGUACGGCCGCAAGGUUG